CCAAUUCAACCCGGAUCAGGAGCGGCCGUGCAGCUCCCUGAAUCGCAUCCAGCAGCUGUUCAUUUUUAUAAUGACUGUGCAUUUAUCCAAGAGCCGAGUGGUGCUAAUGAAAGAAUGCAAAUAGCACCGCCUGAGCCGAACAUCUCAUAAAGACGGGAGCAGCGCGGAGCCCGGAUCGCUGCCGGCCCCCACCCCAGGCUCCCUCUCCCAGGUCGCCGUACGAACACCCUGAGCCUCCUCGAAGUGCUGGAGAUGAACCCAUAGCGGUGGGCAGCAGGUAGGAGGCUCAGCCCUGGCCUUGGUGCCGUGUGCUGCAGGGCCCAUCACUGGGGUGUUCUGGGGUCUGAGCUGCCUCAGGCCUUGCUGCUGGCUUUACACCCCUUUAAGGUGAUGCACUUGCUGGA
rnacentral:lncRNA from 1 species